GGAGCUUUCCUACGCUCGCCUUAACUACAAGAAGCGCAGGCUGUGGGCAGACAGGGGCCCGGGGCUUCAGGACCUCGUGCGAGUCCGGGUCAACGCCUCUCUGCGCCCGGAGAGCCCGUACCAGUGCCCGCGGCCCGAAGCGCGCCCAGACCCCUGCAACAAGGAGACGGUCCUGCAGGCCCUAGCCCAGAGCACGAAAGGAAAGAGAAAGUUCGACGGGCCGCUCUGGUUCGAGGUCCUGGAGCCCAAGACAAGGAGGCCAGACCCAGAGCCCAGGCCAUCUGCCUUCCGGCCGGUAACCACAGAUGGAGUGACCCGGUGCUUCGUGCCCAGGCCCAGGAGACAUGCCAUCACCAGGUCACUUCCCUCCACUUCCGGUGACAGGUCUGCCCCUCCAGAACACUUCUGA
rnacentral:lncRNA from 1 species